rnacentral:rRNA from 1 species
UGGCGGAAUGCUUUACACAUGCAAGUCGAGCGGCAGCGCGGGGGCAACCCUGGCGGCGAGCGGCGAACGGGUGAGUAAUGCAUCGGAACGUACCCAGUAAUGGGGGAUAACUAUCCGAAAGGAUGGCUAAUACCGCAUACGCCCUGAGGGGGAAAGCGGGGGAUCGCAAGACCUCGCGUUAUUGGAGCGGCCGAUGUCCGAUUAGCUAGUUGGUGGGGUAAAGGCCUACCAAGGCGACGAUCGGUAGCUGGUCUGAGAGGACGACCAGCCACACUGGAACUGAGACACGGUCCAGACUCCUACGGGAGGCAGCAGUGGGGAAUUUUGGACAAUGGGGGCAACCCUGAUCCAGCCAUUCCGCGUGAGUGAAGAAGGCCUUCGGGUUGUAAAGCUC